CCUACGGGUGGCAGCAGUGGGGAAUAUUGGACAAUGGGGGCAACCCUGAUCCAGCCAUGCCGCGUGUGUGAAGAAGGCCCUCGGGUUGUAAAGCACUUUCAGUGAGGAAGAACGCCUGGUGGUUAAUACCCAUCAGGAAAGACAUCACUCACAGAAGAAGCACCGGCUAACUCCGUGCCAGCAGCCGCGGUAAUACGGAGGGUGCGAGCGUUAAUCGGAAUUACUGGGCGUAAAGCGCGCGUAGGUGGCUUGAUAAGCCGGUUGUGAAAACCCCGGGCUCAACCUGGGAACGGCAUCCGGAACUGUCAAGCUAGAGUGCAGGAGAGGAAGGUAGAAUUCCCGGUGUAGCGGUGAAAUGCGUAGAGAUCGGGAGGAAUACCAGUGGCGAAGGCGGCCUUCUGGACUGACACUGACACUGAGGUGCGAAAGCGUGGGUAGCAAACAGGAUUAGAUACCCCUGUAGUC
rnacentral:rRNA from 1 species